rnacentral:lncRNA from 1 species
AGGAGCCUUACAGUACGCGAAAGAAAGUUCGUCUUGCUCCGCCCACGCGAACGCGGUGUAAGUGUGGCCGUGGAAACGAAUUAACCAGAACUACGUCAUAGUCGAUAGUUUUGCCGGAGCCACG